rnacentral:lncRNA from 1 species
ACCUAAUUCCCCAUAAUUCUAAUGUUUGUGUUAUCUUGGAAUUAACAAAUAAAUUAAUAAUUGCAGCAAACAUGGUACUUACUAUCUACAUUGCCGAGGCAAUCUGGCAGGUUGGUUGCUCAGACAUUAUUAUUAUGAAUUUAGAAUUUCCUUAUAGGCAUUGGACUCCACUGAUAGACUUCUUUUAUAAUUAUCAGGAGAUUAAUUUGGUAGAUUCGGUCCAAUUUUCAAAAAAGAAUAAAUAUUUUAAAAUACAAGAACCAGACACAAAAAAGUUUUUUGUAUGUCAGAUUAUUGGUCAGGGACUCAAACCUUUUGUCAAUUGCAUU